rnacentral:rRNA from 1 species
ACACAUGCAAGUCGAACGCAGCUCUCUUAGGGGAGCUGAGUGGCGGACGGGUGAGUAACACGUGAGAAUCUGCCUUCAGGACGGAGAUAACCGCUGGAAACGGCGGCUAAUCCCCGAUGAGCCUAAGGGUGAAAAGCGUUAGCGCCUGAAGAGGAGCUCGCGGCUGAUUAGCUAGUUGGUGGGGUAAGAGCCUACCAAGGCAACGAUCAGUAGCUGGUCUGAGAGGAUGGUCAGCCACACUGGGACUGAGACACGGCCCAGACUCCUACGGGAGGCAGCAGUGGGGAAUCUUCCGCAAUGGGCGCAAGCCUGACGGAGCUAUACCGCGUGAGGGAAGAAGGCCCUUGGGUCGUAAACCUCUUUUCUUGGGGAAGAAAGCUGAC